AUGAUCUUAACAAUGAAUGAGUUCCUGGACACAGAUAGUGUAUUCACUCUUCCAACCUCAAACCAGUUUCUUGUUGUUCAGAAUGUAUCUAAAAAGCUCGAUGUCGACUCGACUGUUCCCGUCCUUCUGCUUGAUGACAAUCAGUCUGGCUAUGUUAACAACUUUUUCUGUUCCAACAACUUUCAAGAGGAUGUUGAUGCUUUAUUUGCCUCUGAUGACUUGGGCAGUGAACUCUUGAGUUUUGACAAAGACAAAAGCUUCAGUAGCCUCAUAAAUGCUGAUGAUGAUUUAGGAGAAAUCAUUCAAGGCCAAAAGAGGACUCUAAUCACAGUGAUGUUGAAGUUGAUGUCGAAGGUAUAUCCGAUGAUGAAGAUGAAGCAGUCUCAGCUCCCAAAUGUGAAAAAACUGUCUAUUUAUGCAGUCAGUGUUCCACACCAUUUGGCAGCAUUGAAGAAUGUAAAGAGCAUAUGAUAAAGGACCAUAAAUUUGAUCUUCUCAUAAACUCUGUACCUGAUGAGGACGCCUCUCAAAUAAAUUCUUCUGAGCUGGAAACAAGCCCAUUAUUGACUCAGGACAGUGAAGAAUUGAAUGAGGCACCAGUAGUCCCUGUGGAAAAUGGUAACCCAACCGAAAAUGACAGGAUAUCUUUAGGUAUGUCGUUUACAGUAAACUUGGCUUUGUGGAUAUCUUUAGGUAUGUCGUUUACAGUAAACUUGGCUUUGUAAAAUUAGCUUGCUAAGUA
rnacentral:lncRNA from 1 species